rnacentral:lncRNA from 1 species
GGGAAGAUUAGGUAUGUUGAAGAAAUUAUGGAAGAUGAAAUGAGCCCUACCAAAAGUGGUAAAUGGGUUGUGUUUGGUGAAGCAGAGUGGUGUGUAUAUGAUAUAGUUAAAGAAUCCAAAGAAAAUGGCCCCUACCCUAUAAACCCUAAAAUAUUGGACCCUACCAUGUGCAUGCCUUCAACGUUGCUGUGAGAAUACCACCCCUUUUAUUAUAAACACUCGUGUCAUAAUCGCAUGCAUUAAAAUAAAGACGUACAACUAAAAAGCUACAAAAAGCUAGAGGAACAAGAUAAGGUUAUAUUACUAUGUCUACU